rnacentral:rRNA from 1 species
AUUGAACGCUGGCGGCAGGCCUAACACAUGCAAGUCGAACGAGUGGCGGACGGGUGAGUAAUGUCUGGGAAACUGCCUGAUGGAGGGGGAUAACUACUGGAAACGGUAGCUAAUACCGCAUACCCUCAGAUGUGCCCAGAUGGGAUUAGCUAGUUGGUGGGGUAACGGCUCACCAAGGCGACGAUCCCUAGCUGGUCUGCGAGGAUGACCAGCCACACUGGAACUGAGACACGGCCCAGACUCCUACGGGAGGCAGCAGUGGGGAAUAUUGCACAAUGGGCGCAAGCCUGAUGCAGCCAUGCCGCGUGUAUGAAGAAGGCCGUCGGGUUGUAAAGUACUUUCAGCGGGGAGGCGUUACCCGAAGAAGAAGCACCGGCUAACUCCGUGCCAGCAGCCGCGGUAAUAC